GACGAACGCUGGCGGCGUGCCUAAUACAUGCAAGUAGAACGCACAGUUUAUACCGUAGCUUGCUACACCAUAGACUGUGAGUUGCGAACGGGUGAGUAACGCGUAGGUAACCUGCCUGGUAGCGGGGGAUAACUAUUGGAAACGAUAGCUAAUACCGCAUAAUAUUAAUUAUUGCAUGAUAAUUAAUUGAAAGGUGCAAUUGCACCACUACCAGAUGGACCCGCGUUGUAUUAGCUAGUAGGUGAGGUAACGGCUCACCUAGGCGACGAUACAUAGCCGACCUGAGAGGGUGAUCGGCCACACUGGGACUGAGACACGGCCCAGACUCCUACGGGAGGCAGCAGUAGGGAAUCUUCGGCAAUGGACGAAAGUCUGACCGAGCAACGCCGCGUGAGUGAAGAAGGUUUUCGGAUCGUAAAGCUCUGUUGUAAGAGAAGAACGGGUGUGAGAGUGGAAAGUUCACACUGUGACGGUAUCUUACCAGAAGGGGACGGCUAACUACGUG
rnacentral:rRNA from 1 species